rnacentral:rRNA from 1 species
AGUGAACGCUGGCGGUAGGCCUAACACAUGCAAGUCGAACGGCAGCACAGUAAGAGCUUGCUCUUACGGGUGGCGAGUGGCGGACGGGUGAGGAAUACAUCGGAAUCUACUUUUUCGUGGGGGAUAACGUAGGGAAACUUACGCUAAUACCGCAUACGACCUACGGGUGAAAGCAGGGGAUCUUCGGACCUUGCGCGAUUGAAUGAGCCGAUGUCGGAUUAGCUGGUUGGCGGGGUAAAGGCCCACCAAGGCGACGAUCCGUAGCUGGUCUGAGAGGAUGAUCAGCCACACUGGAACUGAGACACGGUCCAGACUCCUACGGGAGGCAGCAGUGGGGAAUAUUGGACAGUGGGCGAAAGCCUGAUCCAGCCAUACCGCGUGGGUGAAGAAGGCCUUCGGGUUGUAAAGCCCUUUUGUUGGGAAAGAAAAGCAGCAGGUUAAUACCCCGCUGUUCUGACGGUACCCAAAGAAUAGCACCGGCUAACUUCGUG